GCUCGCGCGCGCGCGCGCCCGCGCACGUCACGCAUACAGCAGGUGUGAUCGAGAGAGAGAGUCGAAUACAGCAGGUGUGAUAGAGAGAGAGAGAGACAGAGAGUCGAAUACAGCAGGUGUGAUAGAGAGAGAGAGAGUCGAAUACAGCAGGUGUGAUAGAGAGAGAGAGAGAGUCGAAUACAGCAGGUGUGAUAGAGAGAGAGAGAGAGUCGAAUACAGCAGGUGUGAUAGAGAGAGAGAGAGUCGAUACAGCAGUGUGAUAGAGAGAGAGAGAGAGAGGUCAAAAUACAGCAGGGUGUGAUAGAGAGAGAGAGAGAGAGAGUCGAAUAACAGCAGGUGGUGAUAGAGAGAGAGCCAGAGAGUCGAAU
rnacentral:lncRNA from 1 species